rnacentral:rRNA from 1 species
UUUAACUGAAGAGUUUGAUCAUGGCUCAGAUUGAACGCUGGCGGCAGGCUUAACACAUGCAAGUCGAGCGGGGGAAGGUAGCUUGCUACUGGACCUAGCGGCGGACGGGUGAGUAAUGCUUAGGAAUCUGCCUAUUAGUGGGGGACAACAUCUCGAAAGGGAUGCUAAUACCGCAUACGUCCUACGGGAGAAAGCAGGGGAUCUUCGGACCUUGCGCUAAUAGAUGAGCCUAAGUCGGAUUAGCUAGUUGGUGGGGUAAAGGCCUACCAAGGCGACGAUCUGCAGCGGGUCUGAGAGGAUGAUCGGCCACACGGGGACUGAGACACGGCCCAGACUCCUACGGGUGGCAGCUGUGGGGAAUAUUGGACCACGGGGGGGACCCUGAUCCAGCC